UACGAAGGGUGCAAACGUUGCUCGGAAUUACUGGGCGUAAAGCGCGUGUAGGCUGCUCGGAAAGUCGGGUGUGAAAGCCCUGGGCUCAACCUAGGAAGUGCACUCGAAACUUCCGAGCUGGAGUGCUGGAGAGGAAGGCGGAAUUCUCGGUGUAGAGGUGAAAUUCGUAGAUAUCGAGAGGAACACCGGUGGCGAAGGCGGCCUUCUGGACAGCCACUGACGCUGAGACGCGAAAGCGUGGGGAGCAAACAGG
rnacentral:rRNA from 1 species